GACGAACGCUGGCGGCGUGCUUAACACAUGCAAGUCGAACGGAAAGGCCCUGCUUUUGUGGGGUGCUCGUGUGGCGAACGGGUGAGUAACACGUGAGUAACCUGCCCUUGACUUUGGGAUAACUUCAGGAAACUGGGGCUAAUACCGGAUAGGAGCUCCUGCUGCAUGGUGGGGGUUGGAAAGUUUCGGCGGUUGGGGAUGGACUCGCGGCUUAUCAGCUUGUUGGUGGGGUAGUGGCUUACCAAGGCUUUGACGGGUAGCCGGCCUGGGAGGGUGACCGGCCACAUGGGGACUAAGAGACGGCCCAGACGCCUACGGGAGGCAGCAGUGGGGAACAUUGCGCAAUGGGCGGAAGCCUGAGACAGCAACGCCGCGUGCGGGAUGACGUCCUUCGGGUUGUAAACCGCUUUCGCCGGUGACGAAGCGGGAGUGACGGUAAUGGGUAAAGAAGCACCGGCUAACUACGUG
rnacentral:rRNA from 1 species